rnacentral:rRNA from 1 species
GACGAACGCUGGCUGCGUGCUUAACACAUGCAAGUCGAACGAAGUGGCGAACGGGUGAGUAACGCGUAAUCAACCUGCCCUUCAGAGGGGGACAAAAGUUGGAAACGACUGCUAAUACCGCAUACAGAGGGAGGGGCUGGGGUCUGCUUAGCUGUUUGGAGGGGUAACGACCGCCCAAGGCGAUGACAAGUAGCCGUGCUGAGGGUGUGACCGUGCAACUCGGGACUUAGUAACGGCUCAGACUCCUUCGGUAGGCAGCAGUGGGGAAUCUUCCGACAUUGACGAAAGUCUGACGGAGCAACGCCGCGUGAGGGAUGACGGCCUCAGGGGUGUAAAGCUCUGUUAAUCGGGACGCGGUACCGGAAUAGAAAGCCACGGCUAACUACGUGCCAGCAGCCGCGGUAAUUC